CCCUUAGAUGUCCUGGGCUGCACGCGCGCUACACUGAUGUGUCCAGUAAGCACCUAACCUCUUCCGAAAGGAACGGGUAACCUUUGCAAAGCACAUCGUGAUGGGGAUAGAUUAUUGCAAUUAUUAGUCUUGAACGAGGAAUUCCUAGUAAGCACAAGUCAUCAGCUUGUGUUGAUUACGUCCCUGCCCUUUGUACACACCGCCCGUCGCUCCUACCGAUUGAAUGUUCCGGUGAGCUCUUCGGACUGCGCGGUCUGCAGUUUCUGCGUUCCGUGCGGAAAGUUGCGCAAACCUUAGCAUUUAGAGGAAGGAGAAGUCGUAACA
rnacentral:rRNA from 1 species